rnacentral:lncRNA from 1 species
AUCCUAUAGAGAAAUUAAAAUGUAAAACAUCUCAAGACUAUUUUCUCAGGGUUUUCUAAUUGGAGGAUGGAUGAGUUGAGGCAGAUGUCAGGAGAAGUGUAUUUUACACCUCAAAAACUGUCACAGCAGAAGUGCUAGCCUGUGGUUCAGUCAUGGAAUAUGAAGAUAGCAGAUGGUACCAUAACAGAGAUAUCUGUCAGAACAGGACUGGAAAAGCAGAAAGCUUCAAGAAGAGCAUAAUGAAAAUAUUCCUGAUAAAAAUAAAUAUGCAACAUGUUAAGCAAGGACAGCGGAAGACAAGUGUAAAUGCAGAGAGCACAUACAAGAUUACAAUGAAAGUCAAGAGAAGAAAACUAAAUACAGACAUCAUUUAUGGACUUAAAAUAGGUCCUGCAUUAGCCGGAUGCAUGCUACUGCUGCUGGAGCUGGCACAACAAAACGUGAAUUUGCUGAAAGGAACUCCGGAAAAAAACCCCUAUUAAAAGAGAUUGGAGAUUUGAAGAGACCAAUUAGUGGGAGAAGAUUAAAUGGUUUCAUUGUACCCUUUUCAUGCAGGCAAAAUUCAAUGGAAGAUUAUGUAUUUGGUUUUGGAGGGAGGGAGGAGCCCCAACCAAAAAAAGGAGGCAUAAUCAGAGGCAUAGUAACUGAGGGGAUACUAUAACCAUCUCAAAUGCUUGAAUAGAGAAGAAAUUUAAAAUGGAGCUCAGAGGAAAAAAAAAAAGAAAAAGAAAAAAAAAAGAGGAAAUGAGAGUAGCAAUAAAAAGAGAAGAAAAAAGGUAAAUUAAAAUCA